GCACUGAUGGAGGCAUUUUCCAAAGAACAGUGACAAGGACGGCCAGCACCUCACCUGCAUUCCUCAGUCUGACUCAAGCUGCUCUUCCACCCUCCUCCCCAGCUGGAGCUGAGGCUGAGGGCAGUUGAGGGCCACCAGGGAGAAGAGCUGGGUCAGGGCCGUGACCUGCCAGCAAGCACUAGGCCAAGCAGAUGUGCCGGGCAGGACGUACGAAUGAUGUUAUUUCUGGCAAGGAGGACAUGGCUGCUGUGGUUGAUUGGCUGUGGAAUUCCAGGGGAGCAAGGCACUAGGAAGUGGGGAACGCUGCCAGGCCCAGCAGCUCAUCAGGAGCUUGCACUUGGCCCAGUUAGGGCUGGCCGUGGGACACGCUUGUUGAAGCUGCUGCCGUAAGCUGCCCCUCUGCACCAGGAGACAGAUCCCAUUACCCCACCUACAGCUGCUUCCUGGUACAAGAGAAGAGUUACCAUUUGAAGUGACUCUGUAGGAGAGUCUGACAAACAUGUUUGCUUUUCACUGACAAUUAAAAUUGUUUUGCUGCUAA
rnacentral:antisense_RNA from 1 species